rnacentral:rRNA from 1 species
AGUGAACGCUGGCGGUAGGCUUAACACAUGCAAGUCGAACGGCAGCACAGUAAGAGCUUGCUCUUACGGGUGGCGAGUGGCGGACGGGUGAGGAAUACAUCGGACUCUACUUUUUCGUGGGGGAUAACGUAGGGAAACUUACGCUCAUACCGCAUACGACCUACGGGUGAAAGCAGGGGAUCUUCGGACCUUGCGCGAUUGAAUGAGCCGAUGUCGGAUUAGCUAGUUGGCGGGGUAAAGGCCCACCAAGGCGACGAUCCGUAGCUGGUCUGAGAGGAUGAUCAGCCGCACUGGAGCUGGAACACGGUCCAGGCGCCUGAGGGAGGCAGCAGUGGGGAAUAUGAGGCAAUGGGGGGGAGCCUGAUCCAGCCAUACCGCGUGGGUGGAGAAAACCUUCGGGUUGUAAAGCCCGUUUGUUGGGAAAGAAAAGCAGCAGGUUAAUACCCCGCUGUUCUGACGGUACCCAAAGAAUAAGCACCGGCUAACUUCGUG